CUUGAUGGUGAAAUGGUAGACACGCGAGACUCAAAAUCUCGUGCUAAACAGCGUGGAGGUUCGAAUCCUCUUCAAGGCAUA
rnacentral:tRNA from 1 species